GACGAACGCUGGCGGCGUGCUUAACACAUGCAAGUCGAACGGAAAGGCCCUGCUUUUGUGGGGUGCUCGAGUGGCGAACGGGUGAGUAACACGUGAGUAACCUGCCCUUGACUUUGGGAUAACUUCAGGAAACUUGGGCUAAUACCGGAUAUGAGCUCCUGCUGCAUGGCGGGGGUUGGAAAGUUUCGGCGGUUUGGGAUGGCCUCGCGGCUUAUCAGCUUGUUGGUGGGGUAGUGGCUUAUCAAGGCUUUGCCGGGUAGCCGGCCUGAGAGGGUGACCGGCAACAUUGGGCCUGGGGUACGACCCAGACUCCACUGGGAGGCAGUGCAGGGGAAGAUUGCAAAACGGGGAGAAGCGUGAUGUAGAGAAGCCGGGUGCGGGAUAACGGCCUUCGGGUAGUGAACGGCCUUGGCCUGUCACGAAGCGUGAGUGACGGUAAUGGGUAAAGAAGCACCGGCUAACUACGUG
rnacentral:rRNA from 1 species